UCUGGCAGCAUCUGUGCAGGAGAAAACAGAGUUAACGUUUCGGGUCCGGUGAGGAUAUUGAGGAAGGUUCACUGGACCCGAAACGCUAACUCUGAUCUGAUCAAGUUAGAUCAGAGAGAAGGGAGAGGCAAGAUCACAUGAGGAAGAUUGAAACUCGCUCUAAAACCCUCCGUGUAACUAAAUUAUGAGCCCACAAGGAAGUGUAACUAAAUUAUGUGCACAUAAGGAAGCCACAAGACUUCGAGGGCUGAGGUGGAAGGGCCCAUAUCAAGUUCUACUGACUACCCGAACAGCGAUCAAAGUACAAGGAAAACCAGACUGGAUCCACGGGACUAGGUGCAAAUUUGAUCAAGGUUCCCUCUCUGAUUCGAUAUCAUGAAGCUGAUCCUGAUUUUACUGGGACUCUUGGGUCUUAGCAGCCCCAGGACUAGCAUAAGGAAUGGACUUUGCAUAACUUCUUUUUGUCAUUAAGCUAUGAAUAUGCUAUACAUUUAAAUAUGUCCUCCUGUUGGGUCUGCACUCAUGUGCCAACAGACUCGACAAAGGGAAUUUCAUUACAAUCUAUUCCUUUUAAUGCCCCUGAAGUACCCGAAUGGGUAUUGAGACAAAAUAGCUCAGAAUCAGGAGAGAGAGAGAAGGAUCAACUACCAAUGACAGAUGCUACGUGGUAAAUACAGACCCAGAUAGGGCACCCCCCCCCUUAUUUCACCCUUGGCCAUAAAGCAGACCAAUAUAUUUCUCUUUGCUUUACACGGAAUGAGACACAGAGGAAAGGCACAUUUAUGGGAGAGUGAUCAUGCCAGCAAUACUAAAACGUUACCCCUGUUUUCAGUAGUAACUACACUUGAACUCAAAUUGACUCACGCGUAACCUUCUUGGGCCGUGGACGUAGUCUUUUGAGAUUUACCAAUCUCAGCAACAAUCAGUCAUGGGCCCAGGUACGGUCUUACACGUUUGUAACUCAACUUGUGCCCUAUAAUGGUACCUAUUUUGUUUGUGGCCAUCGUGCAUACGCCUGGUUGCCCCCAACUUGGACAGGAUCAUGUUAUAUGGCCUAUAUAGUUCCUCACAUUCGCCAUUCGUCCACUAUACCCUUACCCCAAGGAUGUGGGAAACAAAAACGAGAUAUGACUGAAACUGAACGAUUUUGGAUGAUCACCUUCCCUAUAUAUGGGACUGGUAAAGCUACUCGUGAAUUGAUUACUAUGGCCUUAGGUCUUGAACAAAUUGCCAAUGCUACCAAGCUCCUGGCCGAUGGCUUAGACAGUACCACUAAAGCCAUAUCUCAUUUGUCUUCUGAGCUGGUCACUGUCAGGACAGUUGCAUUACAAAAUCGAUUCACAUUAGACUUCUUUUUAGCAGAGAAAGGUGGCACCUGUGCGGUAAAAGGAUGAGAAUGUUGUACUUAUAUUCCUGACAAAGCAGAAAAUAUUACCCAUUUAGCUGAUCAUAUCCAGGAAGGUGUUAAAAAGGUAAAGAAAAUUGCACAGAAUAUAGGCGAAGAAUUCCAUAACUACAAUCCUGGGACAGGAUGGUGGCUAUUUGGGACUUGAUGAGGGACAUUAGUUCACUAUGGCAUCAUACUUAUUAUUGUUAUUAUUUGUGUGAUAGCAUUGUGCUUAAUUUGUUCAUUUAUCCCUCACCCACAACCACUCCGGUCCCUUUCUUUCCCAAGAUUAUGCAUUAUUCACCAGAGUAUGAUGAGGAGGCCUCUUUAAGCAUGUGCCCCUAUCCCACUGGAUACGAUCGCCCAUUUGCAGACGAAGAUUAAAGGAUGUAGGAUCAAAAGGGAGGGAAUUGUGGAAGAAAUUAGCAUGUUGUACGGGGUUCGAGAAAAGUCAGUGUCAAAAAGGCAAAAAGACUACGUGACAGACAGAACAUUAAAAGGAAGCGUCAACCCAAAGUGUUCAAACACCCCUCAUUCUUAGUAACUGCUAUCUUAGUAAAACCUAAUCACAUUUUUGCCCUAGUCAAUAAAAUAAGUGCAUGUUAGCUAAACAUUAACAGAAGUAUAAAGCCUGAAGCUCAGAAAGGUGGAGGAGAUUUCUGGAGAACGUUAAGCUUUGGACUGUGAGAUCGCUUACCUAUCAUGUUGACUUGUUUGUCUCUCUCCAUAAAUACCCUGUAACAUUGCAUUGCUGCAGAGUCUUUGGCAUCUAACCUUUGUUAGCGUUGACUCUCCGUGAUAUCACAAAUAAAAAGUUCUCUUUACCUGGAA